UGUGUACUCCCUCCAUUCCAAAAUACUUGACUUCCAUUUGUCCAAAAAUGGAUGUACCUAUAUACUAAAACAUGUCUAGAUACAUCUAUAUUUUGACAAAUAGAAGGCAUGUAUUGUGGAACAGAGGGAGUAGAAU
rnacentral:pre_miRNA from 1 species